rnacentral:lncRNA from 1 species
AUAGGAUUUUAAGAAAGCAGAAUUGUAAUGUGGAGUGAAAAGAAAAGCGAGAGGUUGGGUCGGAAACUAGGUUAUCAGUACAAUGCAGAAAGGGAAAAUAAAUGCUAAUAGACUGCACAUAUGCCCUUCCCACUAGAUUAGAGACCAGGAGGGCGCCUGCUGGAUUCGGCCCAUUGUGUGGCCGAACAGAACACAGGGUCUGGGCUAUUAUCCCCUCCACAGCCCCUUGUGCCACAGAUGGUUCUUCUUGCUUCUCUUAUCGGGCCGUGCAUUCAGUCUCUGUAGCUUGAUCUCUUCCUCACUCUUCUGCUCAUACAAAAUGGAUUGAUCUGCUGAAAGAGAGGGGCUGGAGAGAGGCUGUCUCGGGAGGAAAGGGGAGGGUGUGAAGACAAAAGCCGGGGAGGCCAGGUGCAGUGAUGGGGUGGGGAGGGAAGAGAGAGACUCAGUGCCUUGCUGGGGACAGCCCCGUUAGCAGUCAGCAGCCUUGUCUCCCCUAGGCCUCGAGCUCAGCCGCCUGGAAAAUGGCCUUGUGCCUUUGUGCUCUGGACAGCCAAAGCUCUCAGGUGUUGAACAAGCAAGCAGCGCUGACUGCCUUUUCUCCCUUCCCUGGGGAUGCUGAACGUCUAGGGCUGGCGUUGCUGGUGGUCCCCUCCCAGGAGACCCAAAGCUCUGCCUUUGAGCUGACUGACGAGCUGCAAAUUCAGCAAAGGUGAGCAGGGGUUGAGAACCGUGGCCUUAUGAGAGACAGCCCUCCCAGGAGAGCCAGCUGUCCCAAGACAGCCUACCUGGAAGGAUGGAAGGGUCAUUCCUCAGGGCUGAAUCCAGAGCCCAAGGUGUGCUGAACACAAGUCUCCUCCUGAUCUGGAUCCACAAGAGGUUGUAUGACUGAGAGCACAUCCAGGCUCCUUUACUUACAAGCUGUGGGGCCUCCAGACAUUUGCCCAGCUGUAUUCAUAGUGUUACUGGUGAAGAUUAAAUGGGUUGGUCAUGGAAAGAUCUCAGAACAAUGAGUGGCUUAGAAUAAUACCUUAAAACUUAGCUAUGAUUUUCAUCAUCAUCAUGGUCAUCAUCAUCAUCAUCAUAUAUCUAUAUUAGAACCAUUUUCUAUUAACAUUACAUAUUAUCAGUAUUACAAUGUACCUCCGUAUGAGACAUCAUGGCAUAAUUGAGAGAACAUGGACUUUGUGGACAGGCAGUUUGAGACCUCACCCUGACACUCAAAUCACACAGUAUUUGUGUGAUUUUUGGUGUGUUACUUCUCUUUUCAAGCCUCAGUUUCCUAACUGUGAGGUGGGGCUAAUGCUAUAAAUUACCCAGUACAGAGCCUGCACAUUAGAGCAGUUCGAUACAUGGGAGCUGUCACUCUUCAGAAUAGCCCAUGCAAACACAUGUUAUGUGUACCUGUGCGUGCCUGUGUGUCAUUGAGUUUGGGUGGUCAGUUUCUGCUGGUGUGUGUUGAACAUAGAACCUAGAAGCAAGUGUCUGAAACAGCAGAACAGACUGGGACAGGGAGAGGCUGGCAAGAAGGAAUGUAAGCAGAAUCAGAGACAAGGACCUCAGAAUUCCAGUCCUGGUUCAUUGCCCUAAUACCUCUUUCCCUUCUUCCUGUGGCAGGUGCCUGUGGGCUACAGGCCUGGGCCUUAAUGGGUCAAGUCCUGCUUGUGGCUCCUGUCAACCUUCAAGCACAACUUCUCUCUCUCCUGGAACUGAGCAGCUUUGUGUACUUUGAAGCCCCUAAAUGCAGUUUGGGGGGCUCUUGAUCAGGGAGUUAAGAGGUUCAAGUUAAUCCUGGCUCCCCAUCAGUGGAAAAUGAGGAAUAGCGCAAGGACCUUUUUCUCAAUGUGCCUUAGUUUCACCAUCUGUAAACAGAGGGCUGGGGCAGACAAAUCCCAUAUCCCCUGUCCCCCACAGCAAAAUCUUACAUCCAGAUGAAGUGUGUCCUGUCCUCUGAGCAUCUUUUUGCUGCAUCUUUGCAAGGAAGAUUGUAAAUGUCGGUGUGAACGUAGAAAGAAGUGUCUGAAACAGCAGAACUGACUGGGACAGGGAGAGGCUGGCAAGAAGCAAUCAUUUGAUAUUAAGCCCCUGCUAAACAUCAAGCUUGUCAUGAAGAAAUGAGGUCAGCACACAAAGGGAAUGCCCCUUGGAGAAACUCAGCACUCCAUUUGGAGCUAACUGGACCAAUUCUUGACCAGUGAAAAGAUAAAUCCAGUGUAAGGUGCAAGCACCUGCUUUUAACAUGAUGCCAUUGUGAUUUUAGCUGCUGCUCACAGGGUCACUUGCAGAACAAAACUGACUCUGGGAAAAGAAAGUCUUCAGUAUUUUGAAUCCAUUGAUACACAGGUGAAACAAAUCAGUUUGCAUUUUCCCUAUACUUUCAACACUUUGUUUCUGAAUAAUAAUAAAAGAGUUCCUGAAGCAAAUACUAUUUUGAGCCUAAUUUCUGGAGGCUCCUAGCAGGCAAAUCACUCUUUCUCUUGCGGUGAUGUUCUUUUUAGUCUUAAAAAGAAAAGACUUAAGGGAAGAAGCUGUCUUUUAUUUUUCAAACAUUGAGCAGGUGCCUUGAGGAAGAAGCCCUGGGUGCCUUGGUGGCUGCGGUGGGUAGAACAGGGGGAGACAGGUAGAGGGGGCAAGUGGAGAUUUGGACUGGAAAAUAGAAUACUCCAGUUCAGCAGUUCCCAACCAGGCUGUACAGUAGAGCCACUUGGGGAUGUUUUAAAAAGAACCAAUUCCCGCUCCCCUCCCUAGGUAAUACUGAUUUAGCUUGUCUGGCACAGGGCCUGGGAAUCUGCAUAUUUGAAAGACCCAUUCUCUACCUAGGAAAUCAGAAUUAUUACAGGAGAAGUGUGGGAACUAUAUUUUAAAAAAAUGGCUGGCUAGGCACGGUGGUUCACAC